rnacentral:rRNA from 1 species
GUAGUCCACGCCGUAAACGAUGAGUGCUAGGUGUUAGGGGUUUCGAUACCCUUGGUGCCGAAGUUAACACAUUAAGCACUCCGCCUGGGGAGUACGGUCGCAAGACUGAAACUCAAAGGAAUUGACGGGGACCCGCACAAGCAGUGGAGUAUGUGGUUUAAUUCGAAGCAACGCGAAGAACCUUACCAGGUCUUGACAUCCCUCUGAAUCCACUAGAGAUAGUGGCGGCCUUCGGGACAGAGGAGACAGGUGGUGCAUGGUUGUCGUCAGCUCGUGUCGUGAGAUGUUGGGUUAAGUCCCGCAACGAGCGCAACCCUUAUAUUUAGUUGCCAGCACAUUAUGGUGGGCACUCUAGAUAGACUGCCGGUGACAAACCGGA